GAGCAGGAUGUGCCUCUGUUGAGAGGCUUGGUAGUCAUUCUUUCUAUCUUAACUGAAUUGGUUUUUUUAAAGUUUAGAAGCAAACCAGGGAAAAGCUGCACCGCCAUCAAUGGGAAGAAGAGAGUGAAAAGAAAAGUUUAUCUUUAUUAGAGAAGAAGACUUCCCUCCUCUUCCAUCUCCAAGAGAGGAGUUACCUGGUACUGCCGAACAAGGCUAGGAGAAGUUGCCCAGCUGUCAUGGUUUAACCCCAGCUGUCUGUCAAGUGCCACACAACUGCUUGCUCACUGCCUCCCACCCCAGUGAAGAGGAGAAUCAGAAACUAAAGCUGAAACAAAACCACCACCAUUGUCCUUCUUAUAGAUGAAAAGCCAGCACCUGAGCGAAGAGUUCAGAAAUAACAAAGUGAGUGCUACUGCAGCUGUGUGCUCUGUGGGAUGCACUUGGAGUCUGUCUGUGCCCCAAAUGGGUGUGGGAUACCUCUCUGCCACCUUCAGAAUCUGGCCUGGUUAUUGCUUUUCCCUUGUAACAGCAGCUGCUUCUGCCUGUGAGAGCAGUCAUUUGCACUGGUAGAAACAAGUUCUGGACAGCUGAAGAUCAGAACGCAGACAUCUACUAAAAACGAGGCUUCAGGUUAAAAAAGAAGAACCAAACCCUUUCACAUUUAUCCUAAAAAACUAGAGCACAAACUGAAAACCUCUAGGGCUGAGCACCCAAACUUGUGAAAUGCAGCCAGAAUAUGUUGUCUAGUCCAAAGGGUCUACAAAACUCUCUUCAGGUGCCUCACUGCACAAACCUUAUACCCAUGCCUCAUUUGCUGCAAAUCCUAAUCGGUCACGGGAACAAAGGCAGGAGAGGGAUCAAGAAAGUGCCAGAGUCUUACUCCUCACUAGUACAGACUGUUAGUGGUGUGUGGGAACACUGCACCUCGAUCAUGAGCAAGCGCGAUGUGCCUCACGCUGUCCUGAAGUCAUGAACGCUGUCAAAGCAUACUGUUGUCCUGAUGGGCCUUGGCUUUGUCAGCAUCUAGGGCUUUUGAAGGGCAGCAAUCUUUGCCCUGUUUGAGAAGGCUAACACACCUCAGGGGAAUAAACAAACCUUUGUAGUCCUCAGAGGUGAGCAGUGGGGCCCAGUAGCACUCCCAGAACACAGAUCUACAAAGAGGUCAAGUCAGGUUUCCCUCCAUCUCUAGGACAUCACGAAUGAAAGACAGGCUUAAGGUUUUUUGUGAGGAAAGACAAAUUGCCUCGGACAUGAAUUUCUCAAAUGUUAUUUGGAAGUUUAAGUCCUUUUAUUUAUUGAAUUUCUCCCAAAGCAUGCACAGA